rnacentral:tRNA from 1 species
GCGCUUGUAGCUCAAUUGGAUAGAGCGUUUGACUACGGAUCAAAAGGUUUCGGGUUCGACUCCUGACAGGCGCACCA